AGCGGGGAAAGUAGCUUGCUACUUGACCUAGCGGCGGACGGGUGAGUAAUGCUUAGGAAUCUGCCUAUUAGUGGGGGACAACAUCUCGAAAGGGAUGCUAAUACCGCAUACGUCCUACGGGAGAAAGCAGGGGACCUUCGGGCCUUGCGCUAAUAGAUGAGCCUAAGUCGGAUUAGCUAGUUGGUGGGGUAAAGGCCUACCAAGGCGACGAUCUGUAGCGGGUCUGAGAGGAUGAUCCGCCACACUGGGACUGAGACACGGCCCAGACUCCUACGGGAGGCAGCAGUGGGGAAUAUUGGACAAUGGGGGGAACCCUGAUCCAGCCAUGCCGCGUGUGUGAAGAAGGCCUUUUGGUUGUAAAGCACUUUAAGCGAGGAGGAGGCUACCGAGAUUAAUACUCUUGGAUAGUGGACGUUACUCGCAGAAUAAGCACCGGCUAACUCUGUGCCAGCAGCCGCGGUAAUACAGAGGGUGCAAGCGUUAAUCGGAUUUACUGGGCGUAAAGCGCGCGUAGGUGGCCAAUUAAGUCAAAUGUGAAAUCCCCGAGCUUAACUUGGGAAUUGCAUUCGAUACUGGUUGGCUAGAGUAUGGGAGAGGAUGGUAGAAUUCCAGGUGUAGCGGUGAAAUGCGUAGAGAUCUGGAGGAAUACCGAUGGCGAAGGCAGCCAUCUGGCCUAAUACUGACACUGAGGUGCGAAAGCAUGGGGAGCAAACAGGAUUAGAUACCCUGGUAGUCCAUGCCGUAAACGAUGUCUANUAGCCGUUGGGGCCUUUGAGGCU
rnacentral:rRNA from 1 species